UACGUAGGGAGCAAGCGUUGUCCGGAAUCAUUGGGCGUAAAGCGCGCGUAGGUGGCUUCGUAAGUCCGUUGUGAAAGUCAAAGGCUCAACCUUUGAAAGCCGAUGGAUACUGUGGAGCUAGAGUACGGAAGAGGCGAGUGGAAUUCCUGGUGUAGCGGUGGAAUGCGCAGAUAUCAGGAGGAACACCAUAGCGAAGGCAGCUCGCUGGGACGUACUGACACUGAGGCGCGAAAGCGUGGGGAGCGAACAGG
rnacentral:rRNA from 1 species